rnacentral:rRNA from 1 species
CCUGCGCGGAAGAUGUAACGGGGCUAAACCAUGCACCGAAGCUGCGGCAGCGACGCUUAUGCGUUGUUGGGUAGGGGAGCGUUCUGUAAGCCUGUGAAGGUGUGCUGUGAGGCAUGCUGGAGGUAUCAGAAGUGCGAAUGCUGACAUAAGUAACGAUAAAGCGGGUGAAAAGCCCGCUCGCCGGAAGACCAAGGGUUCCUGUCCAACGUUAAUCGGGGCAGGGUGAGUCGACCCCUAAGGCGAGGCCGAAAGGCGUAGUCGAUGGGAAACAGGUUAAUAUUCCUGUACUUGGUGUUACUGCGAAGGGGGGACGGAGAAGGCUAUGUUGGCCGGGCGACGGUUGUCCCGGUUUAAGCGUGUAGGCUGGUUUUCCAGGCAAAUCCGGAAAAUCAAGGCUGAGGCGUGAUGACGAGGCACUACGGUGCUGAAGCAACAAAUGCCCUGCUUCCAGGAAAAGCCUCUAAGCAUCAGGUAACAUCAAAUCGUACCCCAAACCGACACAGGUGGUCAGGUAGAGAAUACCAAGGCGCUUGAGAGAACUCGGGUGAAGGAACUAGGCAAAAUGGUGCCGUAACUUCGGGAGAAGGCACGCUGAUAUGUAGGUGAAGUCCCUCGCGGAUGGAGCUGAAAUCAGUCGAAGAUACCAGCUGGCUGCAACUGUUUAUUAAAAACACAGCACUGUGCAAACACGAAAGUGGACGUAUACGGUGUGACGCCUGCCCGGUGCCGGAAGGUUAAUUGAUGGGGUCAGCGC